GACGAACGCUGGCGGCGUGCCUAAUACAUGCAAGUUGAGCGAUGAAGCUUGGUGCUUGCACCAAUUUGAAGAGCAGCGAACGGGUGAGUAACGCGUGGGGAAUCUGCCUUUGAGCGGGGGACAACAUUUGGAAACGAAUGCUAAUACCGCAUAACAACUUUAAACAUAAGUUUUAAGUUUGAAAGAUGCAAUUGCAUCACUCAAAGAUGAUCCCGCGUUGUAUUAGCUAGUUGGUGAGGUAAAGGCUCACCAAGGCGAUGAUACAUAGCCGACCUGAGAGGGUGAUCGGCCACAUUGGGACGGAGACACGGCCCAAACUCCUACGGGAGGCAGCAGUAGGGAAGCUUCGGCAAUGGACGAAAGUCUGACCGAGCAACGCCGCGUGAGUGAAGAAGGGUGUCGGAUCGUAAAACUCUGUUGGUAGAGAAGAACGUUGGUGAGAGUGGAAAGCUCAUCAAGUGACGGUAACUACCCAGAAAGGGACGGCUAACUACGUG
rnacentral:rRNA from 1 species